GCUGGCGGCUGCGCGGCCAUUUUGCUGAUGGCGGUGGAGCUGGUGGUUGAUGUCUCCGUGUCCGCGUCCGCGGCACCAGACCAGGCCCAGCCCGGCCCACGGCCCCCGCCGUUGCAGCAGUUCCUACAAUGGAGUCGCUGCCUGCUCGUUUACAGCCUGGAUGACAAAUUGAUGCCUUGAUAAUCGAGUUGAUUCUGCUGGAAUGAGUUAACGGAUUUAAGCUGUGCCUCUUCACUGGCGACUCUGGGAAUGGUUAACUUGGACAUCGAGCUGGGAUACUACAGGUUGGCCAGUUGGAAUACUGUUCUCGUGGUUGGCUCCAUACUGCACCUGAAUGUGAUUUUGCUCCAGACUGCUCUUCCCAGUCACUGGAUGGGGAGACAACUGGAAGAAUGUUUGGAAGCCAGCAGCUGUAUCUGGGGAGAAUAAACUUCUGAUUCAGGUGGAGCUGGGCUCUGGGGGAAGUAGGCGCUGAGAUCAAAGAUCAAUGGUGGACCAAUCCCCAUUAUCCUGCUUGUUUGAUUACUGAACCACUUAAUUAGAUCUACUGUGCAGAAUUGGAAUGAGCAACUAACUGGUCAUUCAAGUAUGGGAGUCAUGGGUGAUGCGGGUAAGUGGGACUUGCUUGGGUAGACUGGGUCUGGCAGCAUCUUUGGAGAUGUUUCUGAUCGGGACCCUUCAGUCUAGGGAGAAGACUGUAAGAGGCAAGUCCUGGCAGUUGAUACGUGGAUAAGGGUAGGAAGGUGGUUGGCAGAUGGGGAGAUAGUGAAGAUAGAUACAAAGUGCUGGAGUAAUUUAGUGGGUCAGGCAGCAUCUCUGGCGAAAAGGAUUGGGUGACGUUUGGGGUUGGAACUCUGAAGACUGAAAGUAGAGGCUGGGGGGUUGGGUGGCCAUAACAAAUCAGCUGGCAACAGUUGGCCAAGGAAGGAAGGGCAGACCUCAUAAUUGCCCAUUGUUGGCUGUGGAAGAGGUAAUAAGGACGGGACCUUCCUGUUUCUCUUGGUACAGCUGUGGUGCAGGUGCUAAUAGCUACAGCUGUUCUCUAAUUGCUUCAAAGAAUCUUCCAAAAGCACUUACUAAGAGCAGUUCUGAGAUUGGAUAUUUUGUAAAUUAACAACUGGCUUAUUCAUCUGUAAAUAUGAAUCAUACAGAGUUGUAACUACAGUCUCAAUAAAAAUGUUUGCUGUACUUUGAA